rnacentral:sRNA from 1 species
AAAAUAAUAAUAAUACUCUUUUCGGCGUCUUUAUUAUAAAGGUUUCCUAUUAUACCACCUUUGCCAAAUACGGGAAUAAAAAGCAAAAUAAAAAUAUUAUUUAUCGCGUUUGCGUAAUCUUAUAAUAAUUGGCCGUUUUUUGAUAAUUGGUAAAAUUCGAUUUUUAUUAAACGGGCCGGUUUCGAUCUUUUUAAAUUAUUAUUAAAUUAUAUAAAUAUUUUGAUGCGGGCAAUUUUUGGCGGUAUAAUUAUAAAAUUGGCGGGGAAUUUCACAUUGGGCGGUAUAUAUUUCAAAAUGAAAUUUAAUGGUUCGAUAAUUUUUUUGGUUUUGUUUUGUUUUUUUCCCAAAUAUUGCAAUCUGCGGUUGCGAUUAUAAUUAUUAUUACAAUUUGGAAUUAAAUACAAAAAUUGUAAUUAUUAUUAUAAUUGGGUUAUAUUAAUUACCUGUAUUUAACACAAUCGAAAAUAUAAUUAUAUCGCGUAUACGUUAAUGAAAACCUAUUCUUUCCACAAAUCGGAUAAAUCCCUAGUUGGGUAAAUAUAAAGCGUUAAACUGGGUAAAUUCACGGGCGUAAUAAUUAUUAUAAUAUAUAUUAAUCAAACCUUUUAAUUAUUUUAAAAUUUAUUAUUAUAAUAGUAAAAUAGGAUUUUUGGUUAAACGUAAUUUAAUUUGUAACUUUGUACGUUAAAUAUCUUCCCUAUAUAUAUUUUGCCACCAUUACAAUCGUUAUAAUUAAUUUAAUUGGUCGAAUAAUUAUAUAAUUAAUAAAGUUUAUAUAAUAUUCGGUUUAUUUUGCGGCCCGUAUAGGUCUGAUGUAAAUGUUAAAAUGAAAUUGAUUAUUUAAAUUUAAUGUUUUUAUUUUGGGAAAUAUUAAAAUUGACGACAACAGCUAAUAUAUUUUAAAAAAAUAAAAAUAUUGUUUUAUUAUGCAAUUUGUCGCCAUUAAAUUAUUUGCUAACCAACUUUUAUACAAAGGGUGAAACGAAUAAUAUUGCGGCGAUAUUAUAUAUAACCGUUAUUCGAAUUGUUUUUAAUAUACGGUUAAAAACAAAAUUAUUAUAAAAUUAUUAUCCGCAAUAUAGUCGGGCCUGCUACCAUUUAUAUUUAUUACGGUAAGAACGGUGAAAAUAUUAUUUCAACCAGAAAUAUUAGAAUAAACGGGCGUUUCAAAUUUAUAAUUACCAAUUAUAAUUUUUUAAUAUUUCGUGGUACAUUAAAUAACCCGCUAAUAUAUUUAAACUAAUAAAAUAAAAGGGCGCAUUGCGGGAAUGAAAUUUAUUAUAUAUAAUUUUCCUAUUACUCCGUUGUGCAUUUUUUUAUUGCGGAAAUAUAAUAAUUAUAUAUUGCUUUUUCUCACGUAUAAUUAUAAAAUUAAUAUUAUAAAAAAUCAAGGGAAAAACUUUUUGCGAUUCGCCGCAUUGCGCGUAUAUAUUUUAAAAACUUAAUAUAUAUAAAAAGAACAGGGAAACAGCCAAAAUUUAUACGCCGGUUUUCCUACAAAAUUAAACUUGGUUCGACAAUUUGGUCCCCGAUUUCGUAUUGUUUGCGUACGUUUUAAUAAUUAUAAUAUUUAUUAUUUGGUUUAUUACCGUUUAUUUCGCCGUUUUGCGGCCUGGAUAUAUAUUUAAUUAUCUGGUUGCGGAAAUAUAUCCGUACCUACGUUUUUAUAUUUUAUCGCCAGGUUUUAUUAAAUAUAAGAAUUGUAAUUUUUGAACCCCUGUCCGUAAAUUUUCGUAAGUCUAAUUAAAAAACAAUCGCCAUAUUAUUUAAAUUAUGUAUAAAAUUGUAAAAUAAGAAAAUAUUACAGCAAAUUGUUUUUCGACUAAAUGCAAUUAUAAAAAUAAUAAACGUUUUGGCGAAAAUAAUAGUUUUUUACGUGGUUAUAUUAUUUAAAAAAAAUAAAGUAUAUAAUUUUCGCGGAUUUGGGAAAAAUAUAAUUAUUAUUAAAUAAAUACCCCAUUUGUCUAAUUAUACAAAUAUAAGCAUCUUUUUGGUAUUUCUUUUGGCGUUUUAUAUAUUGAUUUUAAAAUAAUAAAAUAAAUAAAACCCUGAUUUUAUAAGGGCAAACGUUAUACCAAUUUUGCCGGUAAUUAAUUAUGAUAAAUAAAUUUGGUUUUUGUAAGAAAGUUAAAAUAGCGCGCCGAAAAUAAACGGCGUUAGCGAGAUUAUAUAUAUUUAGUAUUUGUUUUUUUAUAUUUUGUUUUAUUUAUCUUUCCCGUACCGUUUUAUAAGGCCGAAUAUAUAAUUUAAAUAUAUUAAAAAAGGUUUGUUUGGCUAUAUUGCGCGGUUUUCACGUGGUUAUUAUUAUUAUUUAAAUUUAAUUCGGUUAAAAAUGGGAAAUUGGUAGAGAAUUAUCGAAUUUGGAAAUACGUCGAAAAGUUUAAUUGGACGAUUCGAAAAUUAUUAACGUAUUUGCGUAAAAUAGCGGAUUAUUUAUUAAUUUUUAUUAUAGGCUUUAACUAGAUAUAUUUAUAUUUGGUUUUGGAAUUUUAAAUAUUAAAAUAUUAAUAACGCGCGAAAAAUAUAUAAUAUUAUUAAAAUUGGGUCCGCGUGCGGUUUUUCCGAAUUUUUAUUACAAAUUUGCAGGAUUAUUCGAGAUUAACGUUCCAAAUUAUAUUAUAUAUUUAACGUUGGAAAUAUUUAUAUUCGUAUCCAAAAAUAAAUUCGCAAAUUUAAUACGGGUUUUGGAAUCCGGUUUGGAAAAUCUUUUAUAAAUUUUGGUUUUAUCGAUUUUAAAAACGUACAAAUUGUACCGGAUAAUAAUAUUAAUAAUAUAUAAUUAAUUAAAUUUUUUGGAUACAAAAUUCUUUAUUGAAAAUCGGCGUGUUUAAAUAAUACGGUCCUUAUUAUUUAUAUAUAUAAUAAUUUUGGGGAUUGGAAGGCGUUUGUUUUUAUAUUAUCCGCGAUAAAAGAAAACCGCCUAUUAUUAUUUUUUAAUAUUUUGCGAUUCAAAUAUUAAAUAAUAAUUUUAAUAUCGGGCCGGUUAAAGGGGAAACGGACAAAUUCCAUUGUUUUUUAAAUAAUAAAAAUAGUAAAAAACGUCCUUUUUAAUUUCCGUUGUUAAAAUUGCGGUAUGUUCGAAUAUAAAUACGGUAAUUGGUAUUAAUACGCGGAUAACCCGUAAUAUAAAAAACAAUUUCCUAAGUAUUUUCCAUUGUAAAAUUAUACGGAAUUUAUUAAUUACAAAUAAAACGAUAUAUUAGUUAAAUAUAGGGUUUUGAAAUAAUUAAAAGAACCGGUAAUUUGUAAUUUAUUUUGUAUCCGAAUAUAUAUAUAUAUAUAUAUAUAUAUAUAUAUU